rnacentral:rRNA from 1 species
GGGUUGUGAGGUUAAGCGACUAAGCGUACACGGUGGAUGCCCUGGCAGUCAGAGGCGAUGAAGGGCGUGCUAAUCUGCGAUAAGCGCCGGUAAGGUGAUAUGAACCGUUAUAACCGGCGAUACCCGAAUGGGGAAACCCAGUGUGAUUCGUCACACUAUCAUUAACUGAAUCCAUAGGUUAAUGAGGCGAACCGGGGGAACUGAAACAUCUAAGUACCCCGAGGAAAAGAAAUCAACCGAGAUUCCCCCAGUAGCGGCGAGCGAACGGGGAGGAGCCCAGAGCCUGAAUCAGCAUGUGUGUUAGUGGAAGCGUCUGGAAAGGCGCGCGAUACAGGGUGACAGCCCCGUACACAAAAGCGCAUAUGCUGUGAGCUCGAUGAGUAGGGCGGGACACGUGGUAUCCUGUCUGAAUAUGGGGGGACCAUCCUCCAAGGCUAAAUACUCCUGACUGACCGAUAGUGAACCAGUACCGUGAGGGAAAGGCGAAAAGAACCCCGGCGAGGGGAGUGAAAAAGAACCUGAAACCGUGUACGUACAAGCAGUGGGAGCCCCACCACUAAGCCAGUGGUGAACUCCACAUACGCAUCCUUUGCUGAGGAGACGGUUAACGGAGCGAAAGCGACGUUCAA